AAUUUUUUAGUAUAUAAGUACAACUGACCUCCAAUCAGAAGGAUUGAAAAAUCAAAAAAAUUA
rnacentral:tRNA from 1 species